CGACAUGGAGGGCGCGAUGGCAGUGCGGGUAACAGCUGCGCAUACGGCAGAAGCCCGGGCCGAAGCCGGGCAGGAAGCGGGCGAGGGCGGGGUCGCGGCGGCGGCGGCGGCGGCGGCGGCGGCCUUGGCCCCCGGUGGCUUCCUUGGCCUCCCGGCGCCCUUUAGCGAGGAAGAUGAGGAUGACGUGCACCGAUGUGGCCGCUGCCAGGCGGAGUUCACCGCCUUGGAGGACUUUGUUCAGCACAAGCUCCAGAAGGUCUGCCAGCGGGUGCCCCAGGAGGCCCUGCCUGCCACCAAUGCUACUGCGCUGCUGGGUCAGGAGGUGGAGCCAGCAGCAGCAGGCUCAGAGGAGCCCAUCACCGUGGCCCACAUCGUGGUGGAGGCAGCCACUCUCACGGCAGACAUCAGCCACACUCCUGACAUUGUCGGUGGUGGACACAUCAAAGAGGUCAUCGUGGCCUCUGAGGCGGAGCCGGGGGACAGCGGGAUGGCAGAGGCCCAGGGCAGCCCCAACUGUCAGGGGCCUGGGCUCUCUGGGGAGGGUGAGCAGGCCCAGGUCAAGCUGCUGGUGAACAAGGACGGCCGCUACGUGUGCAUGCUGUGCCACAAGACCUUCAAGACGGGCAGCAUCCUUAAGGCCCACAUGGUCACCCACAGUAGCCGAAAGGACCACGAGUGCAAACUGUGUGGGGCCUCCUUUCGCACCAAAGGCUCACUCAUCCGGCACCACCGGCGGCACACAGAUGAGCGUCCCUAUAAGUGUGCCAAGUGUGGAAAGAGCUUCCGCGAGUCGGGUGCGCUGACCCGGCACCUCAAGUCUCUCACCCCGUGCACAGAAAAAAUCCGCUUCAGCAUGAGCAAAGAUGUGGUUGUUGGCAAAGAGGACACUCCCACAGGGCCUGGUGCCUCCACCGUGGGGACUGUUACAUCAUCGGCAAUGACAGGUGGGCCCAUGGAAACUUCGCCUGUGAUUCACCUGGUGACAGAUGCCAAGGGCACUGUCAUCCACGAAGUCCACGUCCAGAUGCAAGAGCUUCCCCUGGGCAUGAAAGCCCUCACCCCAGAGCCCCCCGGCCCUGAGGAGCUUCCCUGUUCCAGCGAGGGCAGCCGUGAGAACCUGCUGCACCAGGCCAUGCAGAACUCCGGCAUUGUCCUUGAGCGGGUCCCUGGGGAGGAGGGAGCCCUGGAGCCAGCCCCUCCCACUGUGUCCAGUCCCCAGCCCCUGGGAGAUGGUCCCCCAGAACUGCCGCUGCUGGAGGUGGAACAGGUGGAGACAGUGGCCAGUGAGGCCUCAGCUGUGCCCAGGACCCACCCGUGCCCUCAGUGCAGUGAGACCUUCCCAACGGCGGCCACCCUGGAGGCCCACAAAAGAGGCCACGCAGGGCCGAGGCCAUUCACAUGCCCGCAGUGUGGCAAGGCCUUCCCCAAGGCCUACCUGCUCAAGAAGCACCAGGAGGUGCACGUGCACGAGCGCCGUUUCCGCUGUGGGGACUGCGGGAAGCUCUACAAGACCAUCGCCCACGUCCGCGGCCACCGGCGUGUCCAUUCAGAUGAGAGGCCCUACCCCUGUCCCGAGUGUGGCAAGUGCUACAAGACCAAGAAUGCCCAGCAGGUGCACUUCCGGACACACCUGGAGGAGAAGCCGCACGUGUGCCCGUUCUGCAGCCGAGGCUUCCGGGAGAAGGGCUCGCUGGUGCGGCACGUGCGGCACCACACGGGCGAGAAGCCCUUCAAGUGCUACAAGUGUGGCCGCGGCUUUGCCGAGCAUGGCACACUCAACCGGCACCUGCGCACCAAAGGGGGCUGCCUGCUGGAGGUAGAGGAGUUGCUGGUGUCCGAGGAGAGCCCUGCAGCAGCCGCCGCCGUCCUCGCCGACGACCCGCACACCGUGUUGGUCGAGUUCUCAUCCGUGGUAGCCGACACCCAGGAGUACAUCAUCGAGGCCACUGCGGAUGAUGCAGAGACCAGCGAAGCCACGGAGAUCAUCGAGGGCACCCAGACAGAGGUGGACAGUCACAUCAUGAAGGUAGUGCAGCAGAUCGUGCACCAGGCCAGCGCCGGGCACCAGAUCAUCGUGCAGAAUGUGACCAUGGACCAGGAGGCAGGGCUGGGCACAGAGGCAGCUGCUGCUGACACCAUCACUAUCGCCACCCCCGAGAGCCUGACGGAGCAGGUGGCCAUGACGCUGGCCUCGGCCAUCAGCGAGGGCACUGUGCUCACAGCCCGCUCGGGUACAAAUGGCGCCGAGCAAGCCACUGUGACCAUGGUUUCAUCAGAGGACAUUGAGAUCCUGGAGCAUGCGGGAGAGCUGGUCAUCGCCUCGCCGGAGGGCCAGCUUGAGGUGCAGACAGUCAUCGUCUAACACGGGCGCCUGCAGGGUCCCGGGAGGCUGGGCUGGGGCAGGGGGUGAGGACCCCGAGUGCCCUGCCCUUGCCUGCCUGGCCGAGUACAGAGAAGAUGGGCAUAGAACUCAGGCGUUCAGAGGAGAUGUGGAAGUGUAAAUACACAGAGUUUUUGGUUGCUUUACAAUAAAACAUGAAAACCCGCCGCUUGUGAUGUUGCGGCAGUGGCAGCCUCAGGGGCUGGUGCCACUGCCCUGGCAGGUUCCUCUGUGGCAGCCCCUGCCUGCCCAGGGAUCCCAGCAGGGCUGGCGGCACCUUGGCAGUGUGUGGGUGUCAUUGGUAUGUGGACAGGCAGCCUCCUGCUGCUGCCUUGCCCAGCUGGAGCUGUGACCCCAGCUUCCUGAGGCCCAUAGAGGUGGGUGGGAGGGGAUGCUGCUUCCUAGCCUCCAACCCUGGGGCCUCCCUGGGGCCGGGGAAUGAGACUGGGAGACCCAGGAGUCUCGGCUUUUUACCUUGAGGUGACAGCACGUGGAGAAGCAGCAGGAGAUGCUGGGCCACAAAUGGGGCCGGUCUUUCCUGAUUGUGUUGACUUAGUUUCCCUGAAGAGAUGCAGCUUGAGGGAGAUUCUGGGUGACCGAGUUUCUCGGGGGCAGGGACAGGAGCAAGACCUGGACCGUGGGCAUGUCUGGUCCUCUUUCCCAGUCCUGAUGUAGCUCUUGGGCUGGCAGGGCCUUCUGAGUCCCUGUUCUAACAGGCUUGGGGGCACCACAGCAGUCUCAAGGUGGAUCCCCUGCCGACUUGCCCUGCGGGGGUGGGGGUGGUCUCUGUGGGAAUGGGAGCUAGGAGUUACAGUGUCCAAUUCGUGGAGGGGGCAGGACCCAGUGCAGUCCCGGCCCCUCCCUGGAGCAGGGUUUCAAAUACUCACGGAGCUGGGGCGCCAGAGCUGCUGCUAGACCAAGCCCUUGCAGUCUGUCCUGUGCUGCAGACACACCCCCAGCUGGGACCUCUGACUUCUACUGGGACCCAGAUCCUAAGCCUCUGACACAGCCAAUCCACAUCCCUCAGGGGCUGCAGGAGAUGCGGCGCUGCGCAUCGGAGCUUUCAACAUCCGGAGCUUCGGCGACAGCAAAGUGUCAGACCCGGCCUGCAGCGGCAUCAUCGCGCAAGUGAGGCUGGGGACCCUGGGCGGGGUUGUAGCUGGGCUCCGCGGGCUAAUUUGCCGCGCACACGUGACCCCGCACCUGCCGGCCCCUCCCCCAGAUCCUGGCUGGCUAUGACAUCACGCUGGUGCAGGAGGUGCGGGACUCCGACCUGAGCGCCGUAUCCGCGCUCAUG